CAGGCUUAACACAUGCAAGUCGAGGGGCAGCAUGGUCUUAGCUUGCUAAGGCCGAUGGCGACCGGCGCACGGGUGAGUAACACGUAUCCAACCUGCCGUCUACUCUUGGACAGCCUUCUGAAAGGAAGAUUAAUACAAGAUGGCAUCAUGAGUCCGCAUGUUCACAUGAUUAAAGGUAUUCCGGUAGACGAUGGGGAUGCGUUCCAUUAGAUAGUAGGCGGGGUAACGGCCCACCUAGUCUUCGAUGGAUAGGGGUUCUGAGAGGAAGGUCCCCCACAUUGGAACUGAGACACGGUCCAAACUCCUACGGGAGGCAGCAGUGAGGAAUAUUGGUCAAUGGGCGAGAGCCUGAACCAGCCAAGUAGCGUGAAGGAUGACUGCCCUAUGGGUUGUAAACUUCUUUUAUAAAGGAAUAAAGUCGGGUAUGGAUACCCGUUUGCAUGUACUUUAUGAAUAAGGAUCGGCUAACUCCGUGCCAGCAGCCGCGGUAAUACGGAGGAUCCGAGCGUUAUCCGGAUUUAUUGGGUUUAAAGGGAGCGUAGACGGAUGUUUAAGUCAGUUGUGAAAGUUUGCGGCUCAACCGUAAAAUUGCAGUUGAUACUGGAUAUCUUGAGUGCAGUUGAGGCAGGCGGAAUUCGUGGUGUAGCGGUGAAAUGCUUAGAUAUCACGAAGAACUCCGAUUGCGAAGGCAGCCUGCUAAGCUGCAACUGACAUUGAGGCUCGAAAGUGUGGGUAUCAAACAGGAUUAGAUACCCUGGUAGUCCACACGGUAAACGAUGAAUACUCGCUGUUUGCGAUAUACAGCAAGCGGCCAGGCGAAAGCGUUAAGUAUUCCACCUGGGGAGUACGCCGGCAACGGUGAAACUCAAAGGAAUUGACGGGGGCCCGCACAAGCGGAGGAACAUGUGGUUUAAUUCGAUGAUACGCGAGGAACCUUACCCGGGCUUAAAUUGCAGAUGAAUUACGGUGAAAGCCGUAAGCCGCAAGGCAUCUGUGAAGGUGCUGCAUGGUUGUCGUCAGCUCGUGCCGUGAGGUGUCGGCUUAAGUGCCAUAACGAGCGCAACCCUUGUUGUCAGUUACUAACAGGUUCCGCUGAGGACUCUGACAAGACUGCCAUCGUAAGAUGUGAGGAAGGUGGGGAUGACGUCAAAUCAGCACGGCCCCUACGUCCGGGGCUACACACGUGUUACAAUGGGGGGUACAGAGGGCCGCUACCACGCGAGUGGACGCCAAUCCCCAAAACCUCUCUCAGUUCGGACUGGAGUCUGCAACCCGACUCCACGAAGCUGGAUUCGCUAGUAAUCGCGCAUCAGCCACGGCGCGGUGAAUACGUUCCCGGGCCUUGUACACACCGCCCGUCAAGCCAUGGGAGCCGGGGGUACCUGAAGUGCGUAACCGCGAGGAGCGCCCUAGGGUAAAACUGGUGACUGGGGCUAAG
rnacentral:rRNA from 1 species